rnacentral:rRNA from 1 species
UGGGGAAUUUUGGACAAUGGGCGAAAGCCUGAUCCAGCAAUGCCGCGUGUGUGAAGAAGGCCUUCGGGUUGUAAAGCACUUUUGUCCGGAAAGAAAUCCUUGGCUCUAAUACAGUCGGGGGAUGACGGUACCGGAAGAAUAAGCACCGGCUAACUACGUGCCAGCAGCCGCGGUAAUACGUAGGGUGCAAGCGUUAAUCGGAAUUACUGGGCGUAAAGCGUGCGCAGGCGGUUUGCUAAGACCGAUGUGGAAAUCCCCGGGCUCAACCUGGGAACUGCAUUGGUGACUGGCAGGCUAGAGUAUGGCAGAGGGGGGUAGAAUUCCACGUGUAGCAGUGAAAUGCGUAGAGAUGUGGAGGAAUACCGAUGGCGAAGGCAGCCCCCUGGGCCAAUACUGACGCUCAUGCACGAAAGCGUGGGGAGCAAACAGGAUUAGAUACCCUGGUAGUCCACGCCCUAAACGAUGUCAACUAGUUGUUGGGGAUUCAUUUCCUUAGUAACGUAGCUAACGCGUGAAGUUGACCGCCUGGGGAGUACGGUCGC